rnacentral:rRNA from 1 species
CGUAGGCGGCCCGCCAAGUCCGGGGUGAAAUCCUCCCGCCCAACGGGAGAAGUGCCUUGGAUACUGGCGGGCUCGAGCGGGGUAGGGGCAUGUGGAACUUCCGGUGGAGCGGUGAAAUGCGUAGAUAUCGGAAGGAACGCCGGUGGCGAAAGCGACGUGCUGGACCCCCCCUGACGCUGAGGCGCGAAAGCCAGGGGAGCGAAC